CCGUAGGCGAACCUGCGGAAGGAUCAUUA
rnacentral:ncRNA from 2 species